UACGUAGGGGGCUAGCGUUGUCUGGAAUCAUUGGGCGUAAAGCGCGUGUAGGCGGUCCGGUAAGUCCGCUGUGAAAGUCGGGGGCUCAACCCUCGAAUGCCGGUGGAUACUGUCGGGCUAGAGUGCGGAAGAGGCGAGUGGAAUUCCUGGUGUAGCGGUGAAAUGCGCAGAUAUCAGGAGGAACACCUAUUGCGAAGGCAGCUCGCUGGGACGUGACUGACGCUGAGACGCGAAAGCGUGGGGAGCAAACAGG
rnacentral:rRNA from 1 species